UCGCCAGGCCCCUCCAAGCCUUUCCUCGCGCAGCCGCCGCCAAAGCCUGGAGAAGUGGAAUCUCGCCGCCGCUGCUCCCUGCGCGGGCCUCGCGGAGCCGCACUGGGCAUGCUCAGUCGCCGGAGCCAGUGCUGCUCUAAGUAGGAAGCUCGCGUGCUGCAGCCCGCAGCUGAUCCGGGCGCUCAGCGGGCUGCGAAACCUAGGACCCGGGUUCAGAGCCGAUCGAUCGCCACGCAGCGCUGGUUGGAGUGUCUGCUGGGGACUCACUGUACUCUCUAGCCAAGCAUGCUGUGGUCAGAUCUGCCCAGCCCUGGAAUAGAAACCUUUGCCGGAUGGAAAAUCCACAAAAGAAAGCUCUUGUGAAAAGCUGAUUCUGACAUUGACUUAAGUGCGCCCAGAGAGGAAGUUCUUCAGUACAGCUAUGGACAAAGCUACAACCCGAGGCCACUCACGACAGCCUCAGCAGCCCUGGCUUGGUAGGAGAGAGAAAGCUGCAUCCUCCCUCGAGGCCUUAGUACUCAUCUAGGUUCAUACUUGGGUGGAUGGCUUACUUCUCUUGGCAUUCCCGGCUGUUCACACUUUGUUGGGGUUUUUUUUUUUCCUACCCAAACAAAAACUACUGACCCAUCCGUUUUCUGCAGCAUGUACAUUUGGCAUUAGGAUGUUCAUAUAGAAAGGAAGUGCCUCCACUAUAG
ensembl:lncRNA